AUUCCUAAGAAUUACAACGGUACCGCUACAACCACGAUUCUUGGCUGGUUUGGAUAAGCAGAGCAGUCAGCUUCUUCAGGUCAUGAGGAAAAAAGGUGGAGCUGUCGGUCAGAAAAUCAGGGACACCCUUAAACCUUUGGAUCAGGGUGUGGACUUGAACAGAGUGCCUCCUGAAGUCGCUCGUGAUUUACCUGGGUGAAGAUGUGAGCCACCUGAUCAAAGAGUACCUGGUUGUCCAACAGGAAGAGGCGGAGGAA